ACCGAUCGUAGUCCGGAUCGCAGUCUGCAACUCGACUGCGUGAAGUCGGAAUCGCUAGUAAUCGCGAAUCAGAAUGUCGCGGUGAAUACGUUCCCGGGCCUUGUACACACCGCCCGUCACACCAUGGGAGUGGGUUGCACCAGAAGUAGCUAGUCUAACCUUCGGGAGGACGGUUACCACGGUGUGAUUCAUGACUGGGGUGAAGUCGUAACAAGGUAGCCGUAGGGGAACCUGCGGCUGGAUCACCUCCUUAA
rnacentral:rRNA from 1 species